rnacentral:rRNA from 1 species
CCUACGGGAGGCAGCAGUGGGGAAUAUUGGACAAUGGGGGCAACCCUGAUCCAGCCAUGCCGCGUGUGUGAAGAAGGCCCUCGGGUUGUAAAGCACUUUCAGUGAGGAAGAACGCCUGGUGGUUAAUACCCAUCAGGAAAGACAUCACUCACAGAAGAAGCACCGGCUAACUCCGUGCCAGCAGCCGCGGUAAUACGGAGGGUGCGAGCGUUAAUCGGAAUUACUGGGCGUAAAGCGCGCGUAGGUGGCUUGAUAAGCCGGUUGUGAAAGCCCCGGGCUCAACCUGGGAACGGCAUCCGGAACUGUCAAGCUAGAGAGCAGGAGAGGAAGGUAGAAUUCCCGGUGUAGCGGUGAAAUGCGUAGAGAUCGGGAGGAAUACCAGUGGCGAAGGCGGCCUUCUGGACUGACACUGACACUGAGGUGCGAAAGCGUGGGUAGCAAACAGGAUUAGAUACACGGGUAGUC